rnacentral:misc_RNA from 1 species
AACUUUCAGCAAUGGAUCUCGCAUCGAUGAAGAACGCAGCGAAAUGCGAUAAGUAAUGUGAAUUGCAGAAUUCAGUGAAUCAUCGAAUCUUUGAACGCACCUUGCGCCCUUUGGUAUUCCGAAGGGCAUGCCUGUUUGAGUGUCAUUAAAUUCUCAACCUUGUAAGCUUUUUUGCUAGCGAGGCUUGGAUGUGAGGGCUUUUGCUGGCUUCCUUCAGUUGGAUGGUCUGCUCCCUUUAAAUUCAUUAGUGGAUUCCUUUGUGGAUGGUCACUUGGUGUGAUAAUUAUCUACGCCGCCUGACUCUGAUACAAGACUUGUGGGGACCUGCUUAUAACCGUCUCUUCAAUGAGACAAUCUAUAUUGACAAUUUGACCUCAAAUCAGGUAGGACUACCCGCUGAACUUAAGCAUAUCAAUAAGCGGAGGCU